GGAGCAGAGGGCCGAAGAGGAGGUGGAGGAGGAGCGUUGCACCCAGGAGGUCCAGCGAGCAGCCACCCGCGAGACUGCUGAAGAGGAGGAGGAGGAGGAGGAUGAGGAGAAGCAGACCUGUGGCUGUUUCACUGCUCUGUGGAACUGGGCCUGGCGGUAGAGAGGAGGCGGUAACACGCACACGCGCACACACA